rnacentral:rRNA from 1 species
AGCUCGGCUUCGGUCUGGUGGCGAGUGGCGAACGGGUGAGUAAUACAUCGGAACAUGUCCUGUAGUGGGGGAUAGCCCGGCGAAAGCKUAAUACCGCAUACGAUCUACGGAUGAAAGCGGGGGACUUCGGGCCUCGCCUAUAGGGUUGGCCGAUGGUGAUUAGCUAGUUGGGAGGGUAAAAGCCUACCAAGGCGSCGAUCAGUAGCUGGUCUGAGAGGACGACCAGCCACACUGGGACUGAGACACGSCCCASACUCUUACGGGAGGCAGCAGUGGGGAAUUUUGGACAAUGGGCGAAAG